AUGCCUGAGGAGUACCGCAUGGUGGCUUGGAGAAGAAACCCAUGGGUGGUAACGUGGAGUUCCAUGGAGCCCUCUGCUGCAAUAGGAUCUCUGCAAAAGAGUCCAAUGGAAAACAGAAUUGGUGUGUACUGACUUCUUCUAACAACUGACCUGGUGUUGUGUGUUGUAUGACUUGUUGGCCAAAACCAGAAGAGCCACAUACAGAAUGACAGCCUCAACCCACAUGUAUGUCCUCAUAAUUAAUCAUGUUAAUUCCUGACAUUACUCUUUAGCCACAAAGCCAAUUUAGAAGAAUUAAUUUAAAGCAUUGGGUGAAUUGAUUUGAGAGAAGAGGUGGAGAACAAGUUUUUAAAGUACUCAUAAAUUAGCUUGUUGGAUAUGAGUAGCUUGCGAAGUAUGAGAUGGCUAAAGAACUGGAGGAAAACAAAGAUGAAGGAGAAACUCAUUUUCACUAACUGCUGAGGUGAGGAGAAGGAGAGUACAGAUUUGUCACUGAACUCUUGCCUUUGAUAUUAUCUUCAUCAUGAGGAUGUGGUUAGCAGUUACAGACCCAUUUUAGUUCUAUCUAUAUCCAAAAAGGAAGAAUUCUGUGCCACUUAGAGAAGGGCUGAUUGUAAUCGUGAAGCUAGAGUUAUAACACAGAGCAAUAAGAGACUGGAUUUAUUUAUUUUUUAAAUUCUAUCCAUUGCCAUAUACUACAUGUAACACUCAGCAAUGCUAACUAGAAACGCAGGAGCAGAGUCUAUCAUUCCCAUUCCCAUUAUUAAUCUGGAAAGAUGGCAUAUGCCUAUAAAUCACCUUAUUUCCGACUCUCAUUAAUGUAAUGUAUUUUAGCUUUUGAAAUACUUGUUUGUGGCUCACAAAAUAAUUCUAGGGUGAUUAUUGUUUGCAAAGCACAAAAUAACCCCUCAGACAUUCUUUGCUGUGUAGGUAUGAAACCAUAAAACCUCAUGAGCUCAUCCAAAUACAGAAAUAUGCCAGGAACACAUACAUUCGUAGAUAUAUAUAUAUUACUCUUAUAUACAUACUCUUAUAUAAAUCCCUUGCUCUGGUGGUUUAAAUCCAAAAGUAAUUUUUCUACACUGUAUGAAGUAUGAAUCACCGUUAUUGUUCUGAGCUAUAGUUUGGUUGUGAAUUUUUCAUUUGGUCUUUAGUUUGUUUGUUUUUUUAACCCAUUAGGAGAAUGGCAUUUUUAGAUACUUCAUCAUAGAGUGGAUUUCCUGAAAUUGUUUGUGUGUGGCUAGUUACUUACUAGUAUAGUUGGUGCCAUGUAAUCCAAGUAUCACAAUGUCAUUCAAACCUUAAGCUAGCAUCUGAUUUUUUAUAGUAAUAAAAUAUAACAUGAGAAGUUACUUUAACUUAUAAGUAUUUUAAAAGUAAUUAAAUUAUUUCAAUAACAGAGUUUAAGUAGAACACUGUGGUAACAUGGUUAGAAAAUCAUACUAUUUGGGAUGGAAUCCUUCUCCUGGUUUGUGGCGGAUUCCCUGCUGUUUAUGCUGAAUUUAGUCUUGCUUAGGUCAGCAAGCCUCUCUUUGCUAUCUGUUUCAUUGGUUUUUUUUGCCAACUUGUCUUGUUUGCUUUAAACUGCUUAAUUAGUACCUCCUUAACAUUGUGCAUUUGAAGGAAGUGAAAGACUGACUGUGAAUUUCAGGACUUAUAACAAGAAGCUGGAAGGGGUUGAACACUGAGCUAUCUUUUUGCAAGGAUGGUCUACCCAGGUGUGAGGUUUUUUUUGCUCUGGUAAGGCAAUAAAAAGGAAGCAAACUCUGCUUUUCCUCGCUUUCAAACUGUUCUCAAGGGAAGAGGUCAACAUCUAGGACGGUCCCCUUGACUCAUUGCAGGUGCACUAAACUUGCUUAAAUAAAAGUUGAAGGGGAAAAAAAUAAAUGUGCUUAUAAAAGUGCUGCCUUUUAAAUAGUGUAGACUGUAUUUAAUUUCCGCAGUUGCAGUCAAAGUCUAUGCAACACCACUCAAAUCCAGAGGUCACAAAGGGAUGUUAAUCUUUUUUCUAACACUUGCCUGCUGUUGGAAAAAAGCAACUUUGUCAAAUCAGAACCUUCUGUCAAAACUUUUAAUGAUACUUCCUUUUGCAAAAUCUCCAUGUAGCACUUUCAACAGUGCUGACAUUGCUGUGAAUGAAGCAACCUAAUAUUUCAUU
rnacentral:lncRNA from 7 species